CUCAUGAUUUUGUAGAGUAUACAAGAAGAAUGGCACCAGCAUCUGCUUCUGGUGAGGGCCUCCGGCUCCUUCCACUCAUGGUGGAAGGCAAAGGGGAGCUGUUGUUUGCAGAGAUCACAAAGUGAGAGAGGAAGCAAUAGAGAGGGGGACAUACGAGGCUCUUUUCAACAACCAGUUCUCUUGGGAACUAACAGAGUGAGAACUUAUUCAUUCUCUCCACUCCAGAGCAUUAAUCUAUUCAGAGGGAUCUGCCUCCAUGACCCAAGCACCUCCCAUUCAACCCUAAUUCUGACACUGGGGAUCACAUUUCAACAUGAGAUUUGAAGGGGACAAACAUUCAAACUAUAGCACUUGGGAUUCCAGGCUACUGGACAGUUUCUGAGAUAAUAAUACAAUUAUCUUUUUUCUCUACUUUUACCCCUAGCCCCUCAAGUUGCCCAGAUUAAAAAAAUAUUCUGGAGCUGCCAUACCAUGUUGAUUACCACCCAUAAUUUGAUUUAGAGAACCUAGGCUCACUUAAAAUGACCACCUUUGGUUAAUAAUAAAAAUACUAGAUAAAAUUCACUGAACAUUUAUCAUGCUCUAGGAACAUUAUGUACAUAUUAUUACUUAAUCCUCCCCUUGUGAGACAGUUGAAUCUUGUGAGAAAUUAUUACAGAGAGGAGACAGAGGCUCAGACACAUGCUCAAGAUCACGUAUACAGUAAAUGAAGAACCUGGGAUGUAAUCGUCCUCUAAUUUAAGAGAAUGAAUUUUAAUUCCUGCAUACUACCUCUUGUUACCUUCCUUUUCCUACUUCUUGUUAUCUUAUCUCUUUCUUUUAUUUUUUGCCCAAAAUUAAAACAGAGGAAUUACUUCUAUUGAGUUAAAAGAAGUGUUACAGAUUAUCAUGAGAUCUAGAAUCUAAAUCCUUUUAUUAAUCUUUUUUAGAUUAAUUUUAUUGAAUAUAAAUUACAUGAAAUAAUAUAUCACAUUUUAAGCAUAACAGUCAAGCUGUUUUUGAAAAAUGUAUAUGUAGCAGGAUGAGCCACAGACAAAACCUCUCAGACACCAAGUUGUAGAAGGAAGGGCUUUAUUCAGCUGGGAGCAUCGGCACACUACUGCCUUAAAAUCCAAGCUCCCCAAGUGCACAAUUUCUGUCCCUUUUAAGGGCUCACAACACUAAAGAUUUCACAUGAAAGGGUUGUGAUUGAUUUGAGCAAGCAGGAGGUAUGUGACAGGGGCUGCAUGCACCAGUGGUCAGAGAGAAACAGAACAGGGCAGGGAGUUUCACAGUGUUCUUCUAUACAAUGUCUGGAAUCUAUGAAUAACAUCAGUUUCUAAGUUAUGAGUUGAUUUUUAACUACUGGGUUUAGGCCAGGCAGGCCCAGACCUGGUUUCGGGCCUGGCGUCAGGCUGCCUGUCUUUGGUUUUACUUCCUUGUUGUUUUUUCUUAAAACAGGUACUGAGUAUAAAACAAUAUAAAACAGUACGAGAGGGUCUCUCUCUUCCCUCAUUUACAUCUGUGUAACCACUAUCCUAAUCAACAUAUAGAAUAUUUUAUCACCUUUUAAGUUCCUAUGUGACUUACUGUUGUCAAUGUCCUUCUUCCAUUCCCAAUACCUGGAAACUACUGAUCUGAUUUUUGUCACCAUCGAUCAGAUUUGCUUUUUUCUAAAAUUUCGUAUGUAUACAAUUAUAUGGUAGGUAUUCUUUUGUGUCUAGCUUAUUUCUUUCAGAAUAAUGCUUUAAAAUUUAUCCAUAUUGGUGAAAGAAUCAGUACUUUAUUUCUUUUGGUUGCUAAGUACUAUUCAGUUUUAUGACUUGUGAUAUUAUGAAGUAUAUAUUCAAUCUUUGACCCCUUUUCCUGACAUACGACUCCUAAAAUACUUAGAAACUCUGAAGCGAUGUCUUAUCUUUGUUAAUGAUUGACUGAACGGAUGGCUGGCAGCCCCUGGGUAACUUCAGGAUGGGGGAUGGGAGAGACAAAGGCAUGAUUAGAGAGUUGGGACUUUCAGCUCCAUCCCCAAUAUCUGGGAAGGGGAGAGAGUCUGAAGGUUGACUACCAAUGGCCAAUGAUUUAAUCAAUUAUGCCUGUUUAAUGAAUCUUCCAUAAAAACCUAAAAGGACUAGGUUCAGAGAGCUUCCAGAUAGCUGAACACAUGGAGGUUCCUUGAGAGCGGUGUGCCCCAAGACAGUGAGGACGCUCUGCACCCCUUUCCCCCAUACCUUGCCCUUUGCAUCUCUUCAUCCUUAUGCUUUGUAAUAUAUGUAUGCCUUUAUAAUAAACUAGUAAAUGUAAGUAAGUGUUUCUCUGAGUUCUAUGAGAUGUUCUAGCAAAUUAAUUAUUAAUUGAACUCAAAUGGGGGGUCAUGGGAAUCUCAAUCUGGAAAGAAAAAUAAAAUCUGAAAACCACAAAGUUAUUAUGCCAAGGGGAAAAUUAAGGUUGGAAACGGAGUCACACAAAACACUGCCUUCCUUCUGUUCCCAAACAGGUAACUCUAAUUUCACAUGCUUACUCUAUCGUAUGUAAAAUGUAGAUUUACUGAGGAUGAGAUGAAUGCUUAAUUGAUUUUUUCCUCUACUCUCUUUUUUUCACACACAAAAUGUGGAUUCAUUGAGUGUUAAUCAAAGCCUUAUAAGAAUGUAACCACUUGUCUCAUUGCCUACUGUCCCUCCUUUUUUCCCCUUUCCCUCCUGCUUGCUCUUACACCUUAAAUAGUUAAGUUUCCAAAACCCUCUUUGGAAAAACACAGGUCAAGGAUCCUACUGUGACUUAUGUUUCUAUUUCCCAGGCAUAUCCUCGACUGGCAAAAUAAACCUCUAAUCAAUAGAGAUCUGCCUCAGUCACUUUUUGGCUUACAUGUUGGUGACCACGAAGGGACUCUGAGUGGAGUCUGGCUCUUGGCCUCCAGCAGGUCUCCUAUUGGGGCCCUGGUACCGGCUGGAGCUCUUUAUUACUCUUACAGAUUGGAUGAUUUGCUAUUUUCUGCUUCCAUGAUGGCAGACAGCAGUCUUCAGCUUGGGUCCAUCUCCAGUUUUGGUCCACCUUCUGUUAGACUUUACCAACUCCUGGCCCCCUCUAAUGUUGAAUGAAACUCUGCAGCUGGAGAAAGUCAAUUUUCACUUCUAAAAACCCUGGCUGGUAAUAUCAUCAGGAAGACGGGUGCUUCACCAUGCUUCUGCCUGUACCAGUGUACAGAAUAUAAAGCCUUGGAGGAACUGCAGUUGAUGACAGCAUCUUCCCCUUCUCGGAGGAUCACGGCUUGAGGACUCUGCACUGGUUGUUGGCUUCUCACCCCUGAUCAGAAAGACAAUCGAAUGAGAUGCUCAAUCUCGUGAAGGGAAGGGUGAUUUUCUCUCUUCCUUCCUUAUUUAAAACAUUAAGCAUCACCACAUAAUUACGGUACAUUUUCCUCACUUCUUAGGUCUGGUUCUUAAAAGGGCCCUUCCCAAGACAGAAAGCUAUUGUCAUUAAGAUGCUGUCAUAUCACAACCUCUCCCAGACUGAAUCGUGUACUCACAGGUCAACUGCCACAACAAGGUGCCUGAAAGCACUUUCAGGAGAGUCUCCAUCCUUGGCCUGCCAGAAUAUCCAGUCAGCUUCUGAAUGGGCUUCCUUAACAGGAGUUGCUUUGAACUCAGAAUGAGGCCUGUUGCAAUUGCUUCCAGGAUAUUGCAACUUUGGGGGCAACCAAUCAGAGACACAUCACAACAGUUUAACUGCAGAGAACUAAAUGCAUCUACCUAGAAUACUUUUUAAACAGCUCUCCCCUGUGGCCAGACUGAGGAAUGUUGAUUAAACUGUGGAUUUUGGCUUUUCUUGAGUAAGUUUUCAUACAGGAUAGGUUUUUUUCUUGCUAUAAGAAGGGCCUAUCAAUAUACUGUGUUACAGAAAGAAUUACUCCAGAAUUAAGAGAAAAAAGAAGUAUCAAGGGAAAAUGUAUUAUAUGUAUUUUACUACAUAUAUAUAUUUUAUAUACAUGCCCACACAUGGAUAUAAUAUAUAAGUAUGUGAACUCAUAGUAAUCUUUCAAACAGUGACAUUUCAUUAUAUUAUUUACUUGUGCAGAUUUCUUUCACUGCUCAUCAUUGUCUUCAAGAUAAUGUAAUGUACAAACAUCUUAUAAUGGCUUUUAAUUAUUUUCACAAAGUGGUUUCUGCUUAUUGCUUUAGUUUUAUAUUUACUGACAUACAUUUUGAGUUGUAUGCUCUGGCCAUCCUGAAUUAGUUUAAUGUCAUUCUCUUAACCUAAAUAUUGACUUCAUGUCUUUGUACAUUCUAUUUAUCUUUUUCUGUAAUACCCUGUCUCUGACUCCAUUUUUGGCUAACUGUUUUACAGAUCUUAACCUAGAUACUACUUCCCGUAGGCAGCUUUCCCUUACAUUUAAGUUUCCAAAUUAAAUGCCACUGUUAGGUGGUUAUAUUCUACGCUUCUCCUAUGAUAGCUUUUAUUAUACUAUAUUGUAAUACACUCUGCAAUAUUACAUGCUCCCUGAAGGCAGAAACAAUGCCUUAUUCUUCUCAUUUGCAUCUAUUGUUUUCAAGUCUAAGACACAUAUUAGGUAUCAAAUGAAUAACCUUAUUAAGUGAAAUCUCAAGUAAAUAGAAAACAUAUUUGGUAACCUCACAAAUAUUAUGGUUACUCAUUUAUAAAACUGAGAAUUAAGGUACAACUGCUUUGCAGUGGUGGUUUGAACAUUUUAUGACAUACAUAAUUUUAAUUAUAGCAUAAUUCUGGCUUUUAGUCCUCAGGUUCAUUGUGUUCUGUGUCACCUUGUACAUGCUGUUUCUAUCUUUAAGAUCACUUUUACUACCUUCUCUGUCUUUCAACUUGAUUGACUCCUACUAAAUCUUUAGGUCUCAGCAUAGGCAAGACAUACUACAGGCUGCCCCUGACUCACCUCUAAGGCUAAGAUGGGGGUGGGACUUUCCAUAUGCCUUCAUACCUCCCUUUGCUUUCCCAAGGUUGGCCUCAUUUCACUUUACUCUGUCUGAUUAGCUGCCUACAUAACUAACUAGACUACAAUUUAGUCAAAGAAGAUAUGUAUUUUUCCAUAGCUCUUUUUUUCCCAGCAUGUAACAUUUAUGCAGAACUCAGCAGGCAACCAGUUAACAAUUGCUAAUUGAUAAAAUGAAUAAAACUUGAGACCGAUGUUAGCUGGAAAUCAUUGCCCUUGCAUUACAGAUGAAGGUCCUGAUAUAAAAUGUUAAGAAGUUGAUUCACUUGCUCAAGAAGACACAACACACUUAUGGCUAGAACAAUGCUAGAAAGUAUGUUUUCCCAAUGCUGUUUCCCAAAUAUAUUAGAUAAGAAAAGAACGUAAAUAGAUAACUGUGGGAAUGAAUGAAAUGUGAAAGUUGAAGCAGUCUGAAGAGCUUGAACAAAAAGACAGGGAUGAGAUUGAAUGUAGUAUUCCUUUUUCUGGUAUGAUUCUACGUUGCUUUAGAAGGAUAAAGACAGCAUUAAUAUAUUCCCUCCCCAUUAUGCAAGACAUGAAAUGGGGUAAAUGUAACAGCAGUUAGAGUGAAAAAUGUCCAUUGUAACAGAACUUUAUAAUGGGUUUCAGUAAUUUAUAAAUCAUGUUAAAUAUAUCUGAAAAGAAGAAAAGCUGAUUUAUUGUCUUAAGGUAUUUGAAAUAGUUUUGUUAAGAGCAGGGAUAUAUAGUAACUGGACUGAUUAUUCAGCUGAAUUUCCACAUUUUUUGAAACUGAAAUGAAAUGAUUCAUCGUAGCUACAUUUCUCUACACCCUGCUAGAAGACAGCAACAACUCUCGCGUGUCUGCCCUUUUGCUGGGAUCUGUGGCUACAGCUUUGAAUUUGGGAACAGGCUCUGGAUGCCUGUGAGCAAAGAGUAUGCACAGCAGACUCUCUGCUCAGAGUAGCUGAGGCUCUAGAGUAGGAGCCCGAGAUGUGCAUGGAAUACCCUAAGUAUGAAGAGUGAUGCUUAAUAUUCCUUCCUGCUUUUCAUUCUCAUUUACGUGCAUUACGAAAAGGAUCUUGGAAUUUUUCCUGCCUAUACCAAUGUAAGCCAUAAAAAGAACAGAAAAAAUACUGCAUGUGAUAUUGGUGCUCCUGGAUAUGGAGGGAUAAUAAAUCUAAUUCACACUGAGUUAGCUUUACAUCCAUGUUCAGGAAUAUAGAAUUAAAUAUGAGAGAAUUGAUCAACCUACAGAUUUUACCUUAUAGUUAAACCAACCCCACAAGGAUCCCUAGAUGAACAAAGCUAAGCCAACCUAUAUAUCACCCCUAUUCUGAUAAAAAAUGUCUUCAGCAUUCCUGAAAUCACUGUUCCUGAAGUCACUGUUCAGAUUAUGCCAUAAGUAAUGGGAUUUACAGAGGCUUCCGCAUGCUUCUUGGGAAGUAUCCUGAAUUUCUGUAUCUUCUCUCUGUAAAGAUCUUCAGCUUCAGAAAAUCAGCCUGUGAGGAACAAGCUCUAAUCAUUUAUCUACAAAUACAAUAUACAUAUAAAACCAUAAUUUCAGCUUUUAAUUCUCUAUGAGUGAUAAUCUCACUCUUCUAUAGGUCAAUGAUGAAGACAUGUAUGAUAAGAAUUUUAAAGAUUGCUAGCUGUUCAAAAGCAUGACUUGUUAAUAGCUUCUGUAGGAAGGGCCCAUACUUGGUGGUUUGGGGCAUGAGUGACCAUGAACUCUCUUUUCUCACAAAGUUAGUGAUACUGAACAAAUCCCUGAACUCCCACAGCCUGUUUUCUCUACUAAAAUAUGGAUUAUUCUAAUAGUUGUCUUAAAUAAUUAUUAGAAGAAUUAAUGUAAUACAUGCAAAACAGGUGGAAUAAUAGAAGUUCAACAUAAUCUAGACAUUAUUACCAUUACACAACAGUGUGCUCUAAGUGAUAAAAUUCUUUCUCAUGGAGCUACAAGUAACAAUUCUGAUACCACUAUACAUGUUUAAUGGAAUUGGACUAUGAUGUAAAUGAAUAGUGGGUGGUAAUGACAAAAAUUCUUUGCUUGACCAAACUUUAGUCAGGCUUUUGAAGUUUCUCCUAAGCUCAUCUGUACAUUUUCUUGUAAAAUGUAGUUUUAACAAGAAUCCUUCUAAGUCAGUUUAGCAAGAACCACACCCUCCCCUGCUGCCCUCGUCAUCCUCCGCUUGAUAUCUGAUUACACUCCAUAUCCAACUGGGCUCCUCAUCCUCUAUCAUCCCCCAGGGGAUUGAUGUCUGAUCACCCUGACCUGUCUUCUGCAAGGAUCCUGUUUGGCUGGUCUAGCCAGACUAUCCCUUGGUUCUAAUGUUUCCUCUUAGUAAUUUCCUAUCCACUGACCCCUAAUCUGCCCCUUGGCUAGAAAUCUCCACUUGUCUAUGCUGUAUUCGGAGUUGAAUCCAAUUCUUCUCCCUCACUGCAAAAUCCUGUUGCAGUGGUCUCUGUACCUAUCAUGAUGGUCCUAAAUAAAUUCUGCCUCACCGUGUUUUAACAAGUAUUACUGAAUAACUUUUUGUUAACAGUGAGAGCCAGGCUGUGCACCCCUGUAGUGGGAAUUUAUGGAUAAGUAAGGGGAGGAGGCUAGUGUGAUCCACGUGGUAAUGAUUUAGCAUUGGAGACAUUGCUAAGAACGAAUGUUUAACUUAAUAUAGAUACAGAUGGUUAUGCUACAUAUAGAAAUAUUUAUAGAUAUGCAGAUAUACAUAAGUUAGUAUUCACACAUGCAAUUCUUUGCUCAGAAAUGCCUGUACACUGAGAAAAACUAAAAGAAAAGACAUCUCAGGAAAUGUUCAUCACUGGAAGAACCUGCAGUAGGACCUUGGUUUUCCCAUUCCAAACACACAUCCUUGCCCCCUAGUAUACAAGGGAGACAGGGCACCCGCAUUCCAGAAGCUAGCAGAAACAAAGCAUCACUAGAGAUUUAUGCUUUAGCUAAAUCAGCAACCUCUUUCUGAAAGUAGAAAAGGAGAGUGGUUAGACUCUUAAACACUCUAAAACUCAGGGAACUUUCUUAACUUAUUUGUAAGGUUUUGUCAUGUAUCAGUCUUUCUUUAGGCUCAACUUGCCUCACCUACUUCAAAG
rnacentral:lncRNA from 10 species